CGUAGAUGCGAGCUGCCGUUCGUAGCACCUUAUUCCGUCAUAUUGUCUCUGGAUUAAAUGUAUUCCUAAUGUCACUUUUAUAAACAAAUAAAAGUUAAAACUACAAUAUUAUUGUAAAUUUGCAAUAAUUGCAAAUUCCAAUUAUUGGAAGCUGCAAAAGGGACAUUAGAAUGUCAGCAAGGUCGGAACAAUUUUCGAUUUAAGUGGAAUUUACGGAAGGUGCAAAGUCAAUAUAUGAAUUUUAAUUGCAUGUUUAAAUUAAUUAUGGAUUAGGAACCUCACAACUAAUCUGCAAAAUGAAGAAGCAACAUAUUUUGUUACCGCUUAGAAGAAACAAUA